GACGAACGCUGGCGGCGUGCUUAACACAUGCAAGUCGAACGGAAAGACCCUGCUUUUGUGGGGUGCUCGAGUGGCGAACGGGUGAGUAACACGUGAGUAACCUGCCCUUGACUUUGGGAUAACUUCAGGAAACUGGGGCUAAUACCGGAUAGGAGCUCCUGCUGCAUGGUGGGGGUUGGAAAGUUUCGGCGGUUGGGGAUGGACGCGCGGCUUAUCAGCUUGUUGGUGGGGUAGUGGCUUACCAAGGCUUUGACGGGUAGCCGGCCUGAGAGGGUGACCGGCCACAUUGGGACUGAGAUACGGCCCAGACUCCUACGGGAGGCAGCAGUGGGGAAUAGUGCACAAUGGGCGGAAGCCUGAUGCAGCAACGCCGCGUGCGGGAUGACGGCCUUCGGGUUGUAAACCGCUUUCGCCUGUGACGAAGCGUGAGUGACGGUAAUGGGUAAAGAAGCACCGGCUAACUACGUG
rnacentral:rRNA from 1 species